AUGCGAGCCCUCUUCUGGAACAUCCGCGGCUUCGGCCAUGAUGGUCGCCGCCGCCAACUUGUGAAGUACAUGCGGGAUGAGCACAUCGACAUCGUUGCCGUUCAGGAGACCAUGCGUCGCGACUUCUCGCUCCCUGAGCUCGACCGUUUGAGCUCCCACCUCUUUGCGUGGCACUGGCUCCCUUCUAGUGGGAGCUUAGGCCACUCGGGUGGCUUCCUUUUAGGUGUGAAGGAUGCCACCUUCGAGGUGGGCAGCAUGGAUCGGGGGGAAUUCUUCGUCAGCAUGGAAUUAUUCGAGAGAUCUCUCAACUUCAAGUGGGAGAUCAUCAUUGUCUACGGGCCUGCCAACCAUAGUCGGUCGGCCGCCUUCCUUGAGGAGCUCCACCGGAAGAUCUCGGCUGCCUUCCUCCACGUGGUAGUGGGUGGCGACUUUAACCUGCUGCGCGUGGCGGAAGACAAGAGCAACGACAAUGUCUGCUUUGCCCGGAUGCAGUUGUUUAAUGACUUCAUUGCUGACCUCGCCCUCCGGGAGAUUGAUAGGAUUGGUGCCCGGUUCACCUGGACCAAUCGGCAAGCCUCCCCGACCCAGUCCAUCUUGGACAGGGUCUUAGUGUCCCCGGAGUGGGACCUCCGUUGCUCCCUAGCCUCUCUCCGCGCCAUCACUAGGAUUGGCUCGGAUCAUGUCCCCCUUCUUCUCUCCUCUGCGGAUGAGCGUCCGCCGAUCCCCCUCGUUUCCGCUUUGAGACCUUCUGGCUCUCCCAGUCUGGAUUUACCGACACCGUCUGCGCGCGGUGGAUCGAGGCUCGGGCCCACCCCCACCCUCGGCCCCCCUCGGCUAUUGACGCGUGGCACUUCUAUGCGAAACAUGGCAGGCGGUUUAUGA
rnacentral:rRNA from 1 species